CACGUAGGGGGCAAGCGUUGUCCGGAUUUAUUGGGCGUAAAGAGCUCGUAGGCGGCUCAGUAAGUCAGGUGUGAAACCUCCAGGCUCAACCUGGAGACGCCACCUGAUACUGCUGUGGCUAGAGUCCGGUAGGGGAGCGUGGAAUUCCUGGUGUAGCGGUGAAAUGCGCAGAUAUCAGGGAGGAACACCAGCGGCGGAAGGCGGCGCUCUGGGCCGGAACUGACGCUGGAGGAGCGAAAGCCGUGGGUAGCAAACAGG
rnacentral:rRNA from 1 species